rnacentral:rasiRNA from 1 species
CGCGAAGUUAUAAUUAUAUAUAUG